UUGCAACUCCCAAACCAUUGUGANAUACCUUCAACGUUGCUUCGGCGGGUUGGCCCCGGUCUCCGGGGUCCCCGGCCCUACUCGGGCGCCCGCCGGAGGUAUCUAACUCUUGAACUUUUAUGGCCUCUCUGAGUCUUUGUACUUAAUAAGUCAAAACUUUCAACAACGGAUCUCUUGGUUCUGGCAUCGAUGAAGAACGCAGCGAAAUGCGAUAAGUAAUGUGAAUUGCAGAAUUCAGUGAAUCAUCGAAUCUUUGAACGCACAUUGCGCCCGCCAGUAUUCUGGCGGGCAUGCCUGUUCGAGCGUCAUUUCAACCAUCAAGCCCCCGGCUUGUGUUGGGGACCUGCGGCUGCCGCAGGCCCUGAAAACCAGUGGCGGGCUCGCUAGUCACUCCGAGCGUAGUAAUACAUCUCGCUCAGGGCGUGCUGCGGGUUCCGGCCGUUAAAAAGCCUUAUUUACCCAAGGUUGACCUCGGAUCAGGUAGGAAGACCCGCUGAACUUAAGCAUAUCAAAA
rnacentral:rRNA from 1 species